rnacentral:lncRNA from 1 species
CAUCGUGAGAGUACUACCACGGGAGCAUGUAAAUUAUAUGUACUACAGAUCGCCCAGAGGAUUGCUUUUCCAUCAUUAGACAACAUACAUUACCUUUAGAACACUUAUAGGAUUUAGAGGCAUCGGGACAUCAUAUGGGGAGAAACUACGAUAGUCACUCUCUGCCAUGAGCAAGAUAUGCCAAAAAAGUUUUACAAUGAGUACAAUCUGUAUGCACCAAACAAAAUACAGCAAAUACGAGUGGAUCCAUGCCUGCUUAUUCUUCUUCCUCCUUCUCCUUCCCCUGUUUCCAGAUUCCCUCGACAGUUAUUGGCGUUGGAUCUCCCUUGCUGCCAUUCAUAUGACAAAUGCAAAAAUGGGCCAGUAGAAAAUACACUGUUGCCCCUAAGACUUUGAAUAACUUUAGAGUACAGCAGUGAAAAUAUAAUUAACGGAGAUCGAAUUGCACGAAAGCUGGCAGCGAAAAUCAGAAAUAUUUGAGUAUCCACCCUCGCAUUGGUGACGAAUAAGGAUUAUUUUUUUAACCGAGCUACAAAGGAAGUGUAUCCAUUUAAUAAUUAAUAACAAAAGAAUUACAUAGUUAAUUACCGAAAACAAGGCGGAAAUCAUUACAACUGGCCCACACGAAGCAUGCAUCAAGGAUGACCUAGCUAUUCACAAGACACACACACAACAAAGG